GCCAGUAUAGUGGAUAAUGACUCUCGGCUUGUAACGGAGUGGGUUCGGGUUCGAAUCCCGAGUAAGGCA
rnacentral:tRNA from 1 species